GAAGAGAUGCUGUGCAUGACUAUGGCAUAGCUUUCUCCCCAACGAAUUAGGCUAAUAAAGUAAUGAUUAAAAAAACAAAAAUGCUAGAUCAAGGGCCUGGGUCGGCCCGAGGAUAGCGGCGGAAAAAUAUCGGCCCGACC